UGAGCGGUUUUUCAAUGUUGUAUGUCUUCUGUGACAGUGUCAUGAUUUGCUGUAAUAUUGUGUGAACGUACCGCAUUUUGCUCUCCUUUUUUCCUGGUCCUGGACAAAAACAGAAUAGACGUGUGCAUUAAUUUAGUUUAUGAUAUGGUAUGACCAUAACAAUUCGAGGAAAACUCGUCCAUACCUGGAUGUUGAUAAUUUGUAUGCGAGCCCAGCCGUCUGAUCAGAAGUUUUACUUGAAGUUGGAAUUUAUGGAAUUAUGAUACAUAUAUUGUUCUUCCUGUCCUGUGAAGAAAUCCCAUCCGUUAUGUCUCCCAAAUCUAAGAAUAUUGGGGGCAGCAAACGCAUCAAGCACGCUGCUUUAUCACAAUGGGUAAUUGGUGCAACGCUUGGCUCCGAAAAAUAACAUCUUUGUGGAAAGAUAGCAUUGCUAAUGCUUGAAAGAGAAUAAAUAUCACCUAUUCGUGAACAUCAGAUAGUAAUUUUACCUUGAACUCAAGAAUAUCGUUGUCAUCGAACCCACAAAAAGUCUUGUUUUUAGAUCUCACACUACCAAAUGGUCAAAUUACUUUUACCUACGCUUGACAUACUAAUAUGAUGCAAGUGGGAACA
rnacentral:lncRNA from 1 species